rnacentral:lncRNA from 1 species
CUCUGACAAUGCUGUGACCUGAAUGUGGGGAAGAAGGACAAGGAUGGGGCCAGGCUGAGCCCAAGGAGGAGGGGUCACAUCUCACACAGCAGCGGGCAGUGCCGAGAGAUUACCUACAACAAACACUUCUUACUUUGAUGGCAAGGUAAAACCUUGUUAUUAAUUUGAGAAAAAGAAAUUAAGAAUUUGAAUUGGUCCCAGGAACUGGAAGGUAAAAGCAAAACUGAAGC